GGCAGCGCCUCAUUUCUGUUCCUCUCUCAAUCUCACGCAAAGAAAAAAAAAUCAGUAAGAAACAAAUUCUCUCUUCUCUCUCGACUUCGCUCAAAGUUAUGAACAACAAUGGCAACUCGUCUCACGGAGCAACAACAACGACGAAGCACUCUCUCUCGUUUCUCUCGGUGGCUCACAGUCUCUCUCGCGGUGCUCUCUCUUCCACGAAACAACAACAACAGCGACCAGCCCCUCUCUCGGUGAGACAAAGUCAGCAGUAAAAAAACCUCUCUCGGUUUCUCACUCAACUCGCGUAGAACAAAUGACAACAGCAACUUCUCAGGGGAAGUUUUACGGCGGCCAUGGGAGAGAAAUCAGAAGCAAAAUUCUAGGAACGAAACUAUAUUCAUAGCAGCAAUAAUAUUUUAAGAGUAAAAGUGGAAUUGACUUACCUACGGCGAGGAUAUUUUCACCGGUUAUUGUUGAGGUUGAUGAAGAUGAUGCGCGAACAAUUCGUAAACACGGGGCUGCAAUUGGAGGAAUGGCUUUGAACCUCCUUUCUUUUUUCUGGAAAUUCGGGUGGUGUUGUUGAAGAACACCCUCGAAUUGUUGUUGAUUGUUGUAGAACAACUUUGAAUUGUUGUUACUAACAACCUCUCUUUCUUUGAAAUUGUUGUAGGCUUUUGAUGAAGGUGAUGCCACAACACCUCUUUGGACUUAUGGGAGCGCCUUGAAGAUGGAACUUCAAGUUGUUGGAAGCUUGAAGAUGAAGAUCUUCAAGAAAGGUAUGAAGAACUACCUUUGCCUUCUUUCUUACUUUGUAACUAGAAUACUCACCUCCAAUAGAGAUUCUCUUGGCUUGAGAAUUUCUUCUUGCCAAGAGGUCUAUUGAACAAUAUGAGCAAUAGAGAGAAGAGAGAAAGCAAGAAGUUAAGUUACUUUGGUGUGACAAAUACUAUGGAGAGCCCUUCUAUUUAUAGGCAAAAAUUAGGAUAUGUUAGGUAUUAUGUAACUUUGUAGUCAAGUUUGUGAUUCUUGUAAGAAAGGAAUAUCCAUAAUGACAUAAGCCAAAGAUUCCUCUAUGACAUAAGCCAUGUGAGAAAAUUUUCAUGUCAUUUUAUGAUAUCUCUAAGUUGUAGAAAUUUAUGACAUAAAAAUCUCCCUUUGACUUUCUUUGACUUUCUUUGACUUUUGACUUUUCCUUUUUCCCUUUUUUUUCGAAAAAGAUGGCCUCCAUGUGGGCUUUUGGGCUUUUUUUGAAUUAUUUAUUUGACUUUUGCUAAUUCCACCCUUUUUGUUUCUUUUUCAUGUAAAUGAGUAUUAUUGAAGAGAAAGCAUGAAGAAACUUGAACUUGAAGAAUGGAGAUUUGAAGAUUGAAGAUUUCAAGAAACUUUGCAUUUUCUUUUAUUCUUGUAAUCCAAAUAGAAUUCGUAUGAACUUGUACUCUUGAAAAUAAAUGGAACUUUGAAUGUUGUAUCUUGUAUUUUGAAUGAAGUCCACUUUGUAAUU